UUUAAAGAAAACAAAAUCUAACCCAAAAAGUCCAAUUCAUAUUUCCCUCUCCCCUCUUUAAGUAAUUUUACAUGGCCAUAGUCAUUAUUCUAACUGAUAUGUCUAUAAAGUUGCACCCCCAGUCCGUUGAGCCUUGGUAUUUGUUGUAAAUUCUCCUUUCACAGCGAUUGUUAAAUCUAUUCGUGCCCUGAGAUGUAUGGCUUUAUGCUGAAGAUUGGCUGGAUGCGUCCUCUGAUGUGUGUUGUAGGAAUUUAAUGUGGUUGUCUCCUGCUUUAUUAUACUGUGACUUGUUAGGAAACCCUGGGCCUCAUUUGGCUCUCCCUUGGGAGAGGUUGAGGGUGCACCUUUAUGAACAUGGAAAGGUUUAUCACAGCAGUUAACCCCCACUUGCUCCUCCCCUCUAUACCAAGCUCUUCUGGUUUUUCACCUGAUGGGGUGGGUGUUUGGGAUCUAUUUUUUCUUCCUAAUUUGCCAAGUAUUGCACUAUUAAUACCAGCCCCCGAAAUGAAAGGAAGCAACCACACUGGUGUGUACAAUCAGACAAGCAAGGUUGUAUAUUGAGGAAAUUUGAGCAAGCUGCCCUGAAGAAAGGCAUAGUGACAAGAUGAGAGAGAUGCAUUGUUUGGAGAUGUGUUUAGCCAGUGCCCUUCUUCCCCACGAGCCCCCCCAAGGCUCAGAGCGGUACUGGCUUUUAAAGGGAAAGGCCUUCAUUUCUUCGUUUAUCCCCCCAGCAGCGCUGGAGAGCGAGGUGGCUUCAAUAAGCCUGGUGGUAAGUUUUUGAGUAUUACCAUAGAUAGUGUUUAAAAAAAAAAUGCAGUCAGUUUUUAGAAAACUAUAAUUUUUUUAUUAGUUUCAUAAGUGGUUUAAAAAUGAUCUAUACAAAAGAGACUAAUGGGUACUGCCGGCAUUGUCUUAGGGGUAAUAAGGUUAACCUAUGGUUACAAAACAAAGGGUAACUUGAAGUAUUGAGUAACUGCUUCUGUAAUAUGGGGGAGAAUAAAUUUUUAAAUUUGGUUUAUUUAGAGGAAAAAUUUUGACUUAAAUUUAACACUGAUUUGGCACAUAAGCAUUGAGAGUGUAUUUGGUUAAUGGUUUAGAAGCAAACCAGCAAAGAAAAAAAGCAAACCCUAGCAAACCUUUCACAAAUGUUAAAGAGGCACUGCUCCAUUUUAGCAGUGCGGGUCAUUUUGAGUUUAAUGAAUCCCCAUCAAAUGGUGGUAUAGUAGAUAGCUAUGUGUGUUUGUAAGGUUUGUAGCUUGCAAGACGUGCACUAAUAAUAUUUUGUAUGAUCUUUCCUGGUUGGCAGGACCCAUGGAUGAAGGACCAGAUCUUGAUCUAGGCCCACCUGUAGAUCCAGAUGAAGACUCUGACAACAGUGCAAUUUAUGUACAAGGAUUAAAUGACAGUGUGACUCUAGAUGAUCUGGCAGACUUCUUUAAGCAGUGUGGGGUUGUUAAGAUGAACAAGAGAACUGGGCAACCCAUGAUCCACAUCUACCUGGACAAGGAAACAGGAAAGCCCAAAGGCGAUGCCACAGUGUCCUAUGAAGACCCACCUACUGCCAAGGCUGCUGUGGAAUGGUUUGAUGGGAAAGAUUUUCAAGGGAGCAAACUUAAAGUCUCCCUUGCUCGGAAGAAGCCUCCAAUGAACAGUAUGCGGGGUGGUAUGCCACCCCGUGAGGGCAGAGGGAUGCCACCACCACUCCGCGGAGGUCCAGGAGGCCCAGGAGGUCCUGGGGGACCCAUGGGUCGCAUGGGAGGCCGUGGAGGAGAUAGAGGAGGCUUCCCUCCAAGAGGACCCCGGGGUUCCCGAGGGAACCCCUCUGGAGGAGGAAACGUCCAGCACCGAGCUGGAGACUGGCAGUGUCCCAAUCCGGGUUGUGGAAACCAGAACUUCGCCUGGAGAACAGAGUGCAACCAGUGUAAGGCCCCAAAGCCUGAAGGCUUCCUCCCGCCACCCUUCCCGCCCCCGGGUGGUGAUCGUGGCAGAGGUGGCCCUGGUGGCAUGCGGGGAGGAAGAGGUGGCCUCAUGGAUCGUGGUGGUCCCGGUGGAAUGUUCAGAGGUGGCCGUGGUGGAGACAGAGGUGGCUUCCGUGGUGGCCGGGGCAUGGACCGAGGUGGCUUUGGUGGAGGAAGACGAGGUGGCCCCGGAGGGCCCCCUGGACCUUUGAUGGAACAGAUGGGAGGAAGAAGAGGAGGACGUGGAGGACCUGGAAAAAUGGAUAAAGGCGAGCACCGUCAGGAGCGCAGAGAUCGGCCCUACUAGAUGCAGAGACCCCGCAGAGCUGCAUUGACUACCAGAUUUAUUUUUUAAACCAGAAAAUGUUUUAAAUUUAUAAUUCCAUAUUUAUAAUGUUGGCCACAACAUUAUGAUUAUUCCUUGUCUGUACUUUAGUAUUUUUCACCAUUUGUGAAGAAACAUUAAAACAAGUUAAAUGGUAGUGUGCGGAGUUUUUUUUUCCUUCUUUUAAAAAUGGUUGUUUAACUAAGACUUUAACAAUGGGAACCCCUUGUGAGCAUGCUCAGUAUCAUUGUGGAGAACCAAGAGGGCCUCUUAACUGUAACAAUGUUCAUGGUUGUGAUGUUUUUUUUUUUUUUUUUAAAUAAAAUUCCAAAUGUUUAUAAACAGUCA
rnacentral:sRNA from 1 species